rnacentral:rRNA from 1 species
CUUUCUUUGCUGGCGACCGGCGCACGGGUGAGUAACACGUAUCCAACCUGCCCUUUACUCGGGGAUAGCCUUUCGAAAGAAAGAUUAAUACCCGAUAGUAUAAUGAUUCCGCAUGGUUUCAUUAUUAAAGGAUUCCGGUAAAGGAUGGGGAUGCGUUCCAUUAGGUUGUUGGUGAGGUAACGGCUCACCAAGCCUUCGAUGGAUAGAGGUUCUGAGAGGAAGGUCCCCCACAUUGGAACUGAGACACGGUCCAA